rnacentral:rRNA from 1 species
AUUGAACGCUGGCGGCAUGCCUUACACAUGCAAGUCGAACGGUAACAGGUUAAGCUGACGAGUGGCGAACGGGUGAGUAAUAUAUCGGAACGUGCCCAGUCGGGGGGGAUAACUGCUCGAAAGAGCAGCUAAUACCGCAUACGACCUGAGGGUGAAAGCGGGGGAUGGCAAGACCUCGCGCGAUUGGAGCGGCCGAUAUCAGAUUAGGUAGUUGGUGGGGUAAAGGCCUACCAAGCCUACGAUCUGUAGCGGGUCUGAGAGGACGACCAGCCACACUGGGACUGAGACACGGCCCAGACUCCUACGGGAGGCAGCAGUGGGGAAUUUUGGACAAUGGACGCAAGUCUGAUCCAGCCAUGCCGCGUGCGGGAAGAAGGCCUUCGGGUUGUAAACCGCUUUUGUCAGGGAAGAAAAGGUUCUGGUUAAUACCUGGGACUCAUGACGGUACCUGAAGAAUAAGCACCGGCUAACUACGUGCCAGCCGCCGCAGUAAAAC